CUCGUAGGUGGUUUGUCGCGUUGUUCGUGAAAACUCACAGCUCAACUGUGGGCGUGCGGGCGAUACGGGCAGACUUGAGUACUGCAGGGGAGACUGGAAUUCCUGGUGUAGCGGUGGAAUGCGCAGAUAUCAGGAGGAACACCGGUGGCGAAGGCGGGUCUCUGGGCAGUAACUGACGCUGAGGAGCGAAGCGUGGGAGCGAACA
rnacentral:rRNA from 1 species